AACGCUAGCUACAGGCUUAACACAUGCAAGUCGAGGGGCAGCAUGAACUUAGCUUGCUAAGUUUGAUGGCGACCGGCGCACGGGUGAGUAACGCGUAUCCAACCUUCCGUACACUCAGGAAUAGCCUUUCGAAAGAAAGAUUAAUACCUGAUGGUAUGAUGAGAUUGCAUGAAAUCAUCAUUAAAGAUUCAUCGGUGUACGAUGGGGAUGCGUUCCAUUAGAUAGUAGGCGGGGUAACGGCCCACCUAGUCGACGAUGGAUAGGGGUUCUGAGAGGAAGGUCCCCCACAUUGGAACUGAGACACGGUCCAAACUCCUACGGGAGGCAGCAGUGAGGAAUAUUGGUCAAUGGGCGCGAGCCUGAACCAGCCAAAUAGCGUGAAGGAUGAAGGUCCUACGGAUUGUAAACUUCUUUUAUAAGGGAAUAAAGUCACCUACGUGUAGGUGUUUGUAUGUACCUUAUGAAUAAGCAUCGGCUAACUCCGUGCCAGCAGCCGCGGUAAUACGGAGGAUGCGAGCGUUAUCCGGAUUUAUUGGGUUUAAAGGGAGCGUAGACGGGUCGUUAAGUCAGCUGUGAAAGUUUGAGGCUCAACCUUAAAAUUGCAGUUGAUACUGGCGUCCUUGAGUACGGUUGAGGCAGGCGGAAUUCGUGGUGUAGCGGUGAAAUGCUUAGAUAUCACGAAGAACUCCGAUUG
rnacentral:rRNA from 1 species